CAGGUUCUGGGUAUCUAAUGCUUGUGAUAAUCUACAGCAGAUGACCAUGACAAUCCAGGUUCUGUGGAUCGACUGCUUGUGCUAAUCUACCACAGGUGACCAUAAUAAUCCAGCAGAUAACUUCAGGAUUUUUAGAAGGCAUAUAAUGACAGUGAGCGGGACCAAAACUCUGACAAUCCAAGUCACCUAUAGGUAGCAUAAGUAAUCUAUAUGACUCAAGUUGCACAAAUAAUGUAUAGAUGUGUAACGAUUACCUUGCAUGUACAGAGCUAUGUUCU